AUAAAGCUUAUUGGAGUUGACAAAUGCAGCGGAAAAUAUCAUCUUCAUUCCACCCCGCGUGCUAUCGAGUUUGUAUUCGAAUUCGUAUACUGGGGUGGGCAUGGACAGGUACUUGAGAUUUUUUGGUCACCCAACUUAGGUUUUUCGGUCAGGAGUACUCACUCUCGGUCUCAUGAUGGUCGGGUACCCAUGAGGCAUGACAAGGGCUCGGGUUCCUGAAUUUCGAGUACCCGCGGAUAUUUCUCCAUUCGGCUUGGAUGAGUUUAUCGACGACAAACUGAGGAGGACCGAAUUCUGCAAGGCUCUUUAUACGAACAGGAUUCACUACAACCCCGACAUUG